rnacentral:rRNA from 1 species
CAGCUCUCCGAGUGGUAGGGAUGAUUAUUGGGCUUAAAGCGUCCGUAGCCGGCUUAGCAAGUCUCCUGUUAAAUUCAGCGACCUAAUCGUUGAGCCGCGGGAGAUACUACUAGGCUAGGAGGCGGGAGAGGUCGACGGUACUUCUGGGGUAGGGGUGAAAUCCUAUAAUCCCAGGAGGACCACCAGUGGCGAAGGCUGUCGACUAGAACGCGCUCGACGGUGAGGGACGAAAGCUGGGGGAGCGAACCGGAUUAGAGACCCGAGUAGUCC